rnacentral:rRNA from 1 species
UACGGAGGGUGCAAGCGUUAUCCGGAUUUACUGGGUUUAAAGGGUGCGUAGGUGGGUCUGUAAGUCAGUGGUGAAAUCUUCGAGCUUAACUCGGAAACUGCCAUUGAUACUAUAGGUCUUGAAUCAUCUGGAGGUGAGCGGAAUAUGUCAUGUAGCGGUGAAAUGCUUAGAUAUGACAAUAGAACACCGAUUGCGAAGGCAGCUUGCUAAAACGAUCAUUGACGCUGAGGCACGAAAGCGUGGGGAUCAAACAGG